rnacentral:rRNA from 1 species
AUUGAACGCUGGCGGCAGGCUUAACACAUGCAAGUCGAGCGGAGAUGAGGUGCUUGUACCUUAUCUUAGCGGCGGACGGGUGAGUAAUGCUUAGGAAUCUGCCUAUUAGUGGGGGACAACAUUUCGAAAGGAGUGCUAAUACCGCAUACGUCCUACGGGAGAAAGCAGGGGAUCUUCGGACCUUGCGCUAAUAGAUGAGCCUAAGUCGGAUUAGCUAGUUGGUGGGGUAAAGGCCUACCAAGGCGACGAUCUGUAGCGGGUCUGAGAGGAUGAUCCGCCACACUGGGACAGAGACACGGCCCAGACUCCUACGGGAGGCAGCAGUGGGGAAUAUUGGACAAUGGGCGCAAGCCUGAUCCAGCCAUGCCGCGUGUGUGAAGAAGGCCUUGUGGUUGUAAAGCACUUUAAGCGAGGAGGAGGCUACUUUAGAUAAUACCUAGAGAUAGUGGACAUUACUCGCAGAAUAAGCACCGGCUAACUCUGUGCCAGCAGCCGCGGUAAAAC